UAGUCUCGCACAGAUGCAUAUCAAUAAGCGGAGGAAAAGAAACUAACAAGGAUUCCCCUAGUAACGGCGAGUGAAGCGGGAAGAGCUCAAAUUUGAAAUCUUAAAGGGUUUCCCUUUACGAAUUGUAGUUUAAAGAAGUGUUUUCUGUUGAGGUUUUGGUAAAAGUUCUUUGGAAUAGGACAUCAUAGAGGGUGAGAAUCCCGUAUUUGACCUUUACUUUCAACUUUGUGAUACACUUUCAAAGAGUCGGAUUGUUUGGGAAUGCAGUCCAAAAUGGGUGGUAAAUUUCAUCUAAAGCUAAAUAUUGGCGAGAGACCGAUAGCGAACAAGUACCGUGAGGGAAAGAUGAAAAGAACUUUGAAAAGAGAGUUAAACAGUACGUGAAAUUGUCAAAAGGGAAGUGUUUGACACCAGUGUUGUUUUUCUGAAAAUCAAUUAAAGAACUGUUUAUGCUAAGUUGUUUAGACUUUAUCAGCUAACUGUUUAGUUUUGAGCUUUUCUUUAAUAGCACUUUUCAGUUAACAAGUCAACAUCAAUUUCUUUUGCUGUAAAAAAGCUUGAGGAAGGUGGCUUGAGAUUCGUCUUAAGUGUUUAUAGCCUCUUGCCUAUGCAGUCGGAGAGAUUGAGGUCUGCAGCGUAGAUCCUUCGGGGCUAAAUGCAUUUGUGCUAAGUUAUAACAUUUUAUAGACAACUUGUUGACUAUGAUUUGUCUUGUAGCUUACUCGCUUAUGUUAUUUUACCUACGCUUAGGAUGUUGAUCUGUAGUGCGUGCGC
rnacentral:rRNA from 1 species